rnacentral:pre_miRNA from 1 species
UUAGGAGUCACCUGGGAUCUUGUUAAAAUGCAGAUUCUGCUUCAGGAGGUGUGGGGCAAGGCCUGAGAGUCUGCAAUUCUAACAAUCUCUCAGGCGAUUCUGAG